GUCUACGGCCAUGCUACCCUGAACAAGCCCGAUGUCUGAUCUCGGAAGCUAAGCAGGGUCGGGCCUGGUUAGUACUUGGGUGAGAGACCACCUAGGAAGACCAGGUGCUGUAGGCA
rnacentral:rRNA from 1 species